UGGGGAAUAUUGCACAAUGGGCGAAAGCCUGAUGCAGCUACGCCGCGUGAGCGAUGAAGGCCUUUGGGUCGUAAAGCUCUGUCCUUGGGGAAGAAAAAAAUGACGGUACCCUUGGAGGAAGCCCCGGCUAACUACGUGCCAGCAGCCGCGGUAAUACGUAGGGGGCAAGCGUUAUCCGGAAUUAUUGGGCGUAAAGAGUGCGUAGGUGGUUUUGUAAGCGCGGGGUGAAAGGCAAUAGCUCAACUAUUGUAAGCCCUGCGAACUGUAAGACUUGAGUGCAGGAGAGGAAAGCGGAAUUCCUAGUGUAGCGGUGAAAUGCGUAGAUAUUAGGAGGAACACCAGUGGCGAAGGCGGCUUUCUGAACUGUAACUGACACUGAGGCACGAAAGCGUGGGGAGCAAACA
rnacentral:rRNA from 1 species